rnacentral:lncRNA from 1 species
GGCUGAUUUAGAUUCUAGAGUAGUUUAAUGGUUAGUUUUUUUAAAAAAUUUAUUUAAUUAGUUAAUUGAGAAUAUUUUUUUCCAGGGUUACAAGAUUCAUGUUCUUUCCCCGUCCUCCCCUAACCCUCUCCCAUAGCUGAUGUGCAAUUUUACAUGUGUCAUUGAUUAAGACCCAUUUCCAUACCAUUGAUAUUUUCAUGAGGGUGAUCUUAAUGGUUAGUUCUUCUUCUUCUUCUUCUUCUUCUUCUUCUUCUUCUUCUUCUUCUUCUUCUUCUUCUUUCUUCUUCUUCUUUCUUCUUCCUUCUUCCUUCUUCUUCUUUCUUCUUCCUUCUUCUUCCUUCUUCUUCUUCUUCUUCUUCUUCUAUCUUCUUCAAUAAAGACCUUUACUUUCUGUCUUAGAAUUGAAAUUAAGUAUUAUUUCCAAGGCAGAAGAAUGGCAAAGACAGGGAAAAUUGGGGUCAAGUGACUUGCCCAGGGUCACACAGCUCAUAUUUGAACUCAGAACCUCCCAUCUCCAUAUCUGGCUCCCUAUCCACUGAGACAUCUAACUGCCCCUUGGCUAUUAGUUCUUAUUCUAAUCUUACUGAGCAUUGCAAUUCUAUAAUCUUCAUGAUGGAGCCAUGAAUGAAUCACAUUGACUCUGUGUCACCAAUUGUAAGAUUUUAAAAUUGGGUGAGAUCUUAUUCCAAUCUCAUUUUUUACAAUUCUCUCUGCCUAAAACUAAGGCUAACCUACUUAAAAGUUGAUGGGACAAUAUGACAUAGUUGAUAAAGCAUCAAUCUUAUAGCCAGGGGUACCAAAGUUCAAAUUUGACCUCUGAAAGGUCAAAAUGACAAAUGUUGGAGGGGAUAUGGAAAAAAUGGAGACACUGAUACAUUGUUGGUAGAACUGUGAAGUGAUCCAGCUAUUUUGGAGAGCAAUCUGGAAUUAUGUCAGAAGUUAUAAAAAUUAUGUAUACCCUUAAACCUAGCUAUACCACUAUUAGGCCUUAUAAAAUACCCUAAAUAUCCUAAAAUAUUUAUAGCAGCUCUCCUUGUGAUGGCAAAGAACUGGAAAUUGAGGGGAUGUCCAUCAAUUGGAGAAUGGCUAAACAAGUUGUGGCUAUGAUUGUGAUGGAAUACUAAUUGUGUCAUAAGAAAUGAUGAGUAGGCUAAUUUUUUUAAAAACAUGGAAAGAUCUACAUGAAAUUAUGAAGAGUAAAAUGAAUAGAACAACA